UCUAAUAAGACCAACAAUAUACCAUGCCGUCAUUUUUCCAGUCAUGAGGUAGGUACAUUUUAUGUUUAGAAAGGCCAACAUAUAGGAACAUAUCAGCUGUAUAGGACAGACCAAAUCAGAAACCAGGGCUAACUUUAUUGUAACAGUUAUAGGAAAAGAAUCUUGCAAGUCAGAAUGUGCUUCUCCCCCUCCCUACUUUAUUUUUGUGUGAAGUAGGGAGGGGCCUGAGAUGUUUACUCAAAUUAGUUUCUUGGAACUGGCCCUGUAUAUCAGACUGUUACCUUAAUAGCAGUUGUUCCACCUGUGCUUCAAGGGCAUUCCCCAUGUCUUCCACAGAAAAAAGUGAUAGGCUACUAUUUUCCUAGAACAUCAAAAUAUUUUAAUUUCCCACUCCAAAAAAAGCAUUAAGUAGUACAGCAUCAGUAUUAUUGUCCAAUUAAAUAGUAGCCUACUAGCUAAUUAAAUAACUUACAGUGCAGUGGUGAAGUGCACUUACCUUUACUACCAGUUUGGAAAUGUGAACGUGCACGCGCUCUCGCUACACUUGCGCAUGCCUCUUCACCACAUGUGCAGAGCCUACUGUGCAUGCACAGAGGGUCAAAAACGAGACAUAAUAACAUCCAGCGGGUGGACGGAGCCUCCUGCCACCGGCCCUAUUGGUUCGCGUGAGCCAGAUAGAUCCAGCUGGAUUUCACCGCUGAUACAGUGUCUAAGUCUCUACAGGAUUUCCACAAGCCAUUUUAGAGAAGGAAACAUGAUUAUAAAAGCAGCUUAAGACUAUAAUGAAAAUGUUCCCUUAAUAUUGAUGGCUAUUUCUAGAUUAUUGUAAUUGAAGAUAACAUUGUUUAAUUUGAAAAGGCAAUUAUCCAAUCACUCCUUAAAUAACUCAAAAUUUAUUAGUCCUGAAAAGUAACCAUCAUCUUCAGCCUAAUUACCAUAAAUGCUUGUCAUUGGGUUCUUAUUUGCCAAUUGGUAAUGUCACAACUGCCUUUAGUAAUGCAAACCGUUAAGUCACAAUACACCCACAACCAACCUGUGGACUAAUCCCUUUUGCCUUUAGUAUGGUAAGUCUAGGAUAGCAUAUCAGCUAAAUUCUGCACGAGAACAAUUUCAUUCCUCUUCAAUUAAAGUUCCUUAAAUUUGUAAGAACUUCAAUUUCUCAAAAUCUGCUGACACUUGGGAAGAAAAGAUAGAAAAGAAUCUAAACCUAUAUGGGCUUCUAGAGGCAGAAUAACUUGAUAGAGUGGUGUUGGCAUUUAGUUUUAUUUGAUACAUGCUUAAGCCUUGCUUGAAUUUCUUCAAGAGAGAUUUUCUGAUCACCAUAUAAGAUCCAUUGUUUCCCUAUUUUUUAAGCCUAACACAUAUCCUUGUUUUUCCUUGAAAAUCUGAGUUCUUAUUCACUCUAUAAACUAAUUUAAUAUUUUGGUGCCAUUUUGUGUCUUAGGGACUUGUGAUCUGGUAGCUUGUUUUGGUUGAGAAAAGGUAAAGAAAGGGAUAGCAGAUAAUGCCAGUGAAAGCAAUAGUUGCUACAUCAUCCCAAGGCUAUACUGGCUGAGUAGACCAGAUCAGAUGGCACAGAGAAAGAUCUUUUACAGAGAACAACAACCUUGCAAGGCGAAUUGGCUGAGAGAGUGUGACUAGUGCUAGAUCAUUCAGCUGAUUUCCUGGCUAAGGCAGGAUUUGAACUCGUGGUUUCCCAGUUUCUAGCCUGAUGCUUUAACCACUACCCAAACUCGCUCACAUAUAUACGAACUGUUUAGACAGAUUUCCAGAAAAAACAUAGCCCAGAGGAGCCAGGAAAUAAUACCUGUAUUUUCCAUUUGACCCAGAGUGUGAAGCAAUCAUUUUUUAUAAGCACAAUAUGGGUUUCCUUUCAACUCACCAGCAU